ACCGACAGUACAACACCCCUGCUGCCUGCCAGGCCUGGACAGUCAGGACAAGCAUUGAUAGCGGGUCAGGGAACAACGACAAACAGCAAAAGGCAGCGGGUGCGGUGGCAGCCCAUCCAGCCAAAGCCUCGGCUCCUGGACACCACCCUCCGCCCGCCCCCGCCCGCCAUCCGGCCCAGGGCCUGCUGGGAAAUGCUCUGGGCACUGACCACGGCCAGUGUGGCCCUGGGGCCCAGGGUGGCAGGUUGGGUGCGGACCAUGGCCUCCCACCGGCUGCUGGUGGCCCCCCCAGAGGCCCUGCGCAAGCCCCUGUCCAUCCCCAGCCGGCUUCUGCUGGGGCCCGGACCCUCCAACCUCCCUCCCCGCGUCCUGGCGGCUGGGGGGCUGCAGAUGGUGGGGCACAUGCACAAGGAGAUGUUCCAGAUAAUGGACGAGAUCAAGGAAGGCAUCCAGUACGUGUUCCAGACCAGGAGCCCCCUCACGCUGGCCGUCAGUGGCUCGGGGCACUGUGCGCUGGAGGCAGCCCUGUUCAACCUCCUGGAGCCAGGGGACCCCUUCCUGGUUGGGGUCAACGGCGUCUGGGGGCAGCGGGCUGCAGACAUCGGAGAGCGCAUUGGAGCCCGUGUGCACCUGAUGAUCAAGGACCCUGGAGGCCACUACACGCUGCAGGAGGUGGAGGAGGCCCUGGCCCGGCACAAGCCGGCACUGCUGUUCCUGACCCAGGGGGAGUCGUCCACUGGCGUGCUGCAGCCCCUCGAAGGCUAUGGGGAGCUCUGCCACAGGCACAGGUGCCUGCUCUUGGUGGACGCUGUGGCAUCCCUGGGCGCGGUCCCCAUCUACAUGGACCUGCAAGGUAUCGAUGUCUUGUACUCUGGCUCCCAGAAGGUCCUGAAUGCCCCACCAGGCACCUCGCUCAUCUCCUUCAGUGACAAGGCCAAAAACAAGAUCUACACCCGGAAGACAAAGCCUUUUUCCUUCUACCUGGACAUCAAGUAUCUGGCCAACAUCUGGGGGUGUGAUGACAAGCCCAGGAGAUACCAUCACACCACCCCCAUCAUCAGCUUGUACAGCCUGAGAGAGAGCCUGGCCCUCCUCGCGGAGCAGGGCCUGGAGAACAGCUGGCGGCAGCACCAGGAGGCCACCGAGCACCUGCACAGGCGCCUGCGGGCGCUGGGCCUGCAGUUCUUUGUGAAGGAUCCCGCCGUCCGACUGCCCACUGUCACUGCUGUGGCCGUGCCUGCUGGCUACGACUGGAGGGACAUUGUCCACUACGUCAUGGACCAUUUCAGCAUCGAGAUCACCGGUGGCCUGGGGCCCUCGGCAGGGAAGGUGCUGCGCAUCGGGCUGCUGGGCUGCAACGCCACCCGAGAGAACGUGGACCGAGUGACCGAGGCCCUGCAGGAGGCCCUGCAGCGCUGCCCCCGGAACAAGCUGUGACCUGCCCACCCCACUACAACCACCCGGUUCACACCAGGCCAGCCCCUGACCUCCUCUGGACACAGUAGACUUCAACCAGUCACAGCCAUGUCCACAUUUCCCGGUCCACACGGAUCCUAAGAACCUCUGGGAGGAAGGCGGGGCAGGGUCUCCCGCUUGCCGAGAAGGACCCCACACCCCACAUAUACAUCCACAGGAGGCAGGGCAGGGGAAGACCCAAAAAAGGAAGAUCCCGAUCCAGUAGGAAGCCAGAGAGAGAGGCAGAAACACCACCCUGGCGAGGAGGAGCUGUGCCUGCGCCUGCAGGAGAACCAGGACCGGGUCCAGUUCGUCCUGCCCUCACUCCUGCAGCUCCUGCCGCACGCGCACCUGCACCUCGAGGCAACGCAGAGCCAGUUCAGGCAUCACCACGCCUCAGGCUGAGCCCCCUCUGCACCCACCAGGACCGUCUUCUCCGAUUUCCCACCAUCAAUCCGCUCCGCCACCCAAACUUACUUCCGUCCCCUGGUGUCGUUUUGGUUGGGUUUUUCUGUAAUUUCCUUUUUUUCUUUCAUGUCAUUUACAGGAUCCGCUAUUUUUAUGUUUUAAGUUUGCAGUAAUAAAAUUUAUACUUUUUCCUUUUUAAA